GGGUGGAAUAAUUUAUAGUUUUAAUUUGAACAUUUCACCUAAAAUGGCAUAUGGUGUGCUUGAGUGUGCUAUUGUUAUGUUACAGAGUUACAUGCUUAUGACUUUGUAAUAAAAGAUCUUGUAAUAAACUGGGGACGUUAUUUGUGCCACACCCUCUAUGUAUGCAUGUCAGA